AAUUAUGAUCUGUCCAGGGUUAGUGUAAGUUUUCCUUAACUUACAAUGUCCAUUUUCUUUGUUUGACUUGGUGUAUGUAUGUGUGUGCGUGUAUGCGUUCCUUGGUACCGUUCCCGCCACCGAAGCAAGGUCGGUGACCCAUUCAGCACGACCUUCACUUAGCUCCAAGCUCCGUGCCCAUACACAUCUUUUUCUCCACUUUUUCUUAUGAAAGAGAUACUCCAUUUAACCAGAAAACGCCUUUUACAAGACGAAUGGCAAGGGUCUGUGAAUCUGGAGAUCUCGCAGCAAACAAGUUGUCCCGGAAGAGACCCCCGUGCCAGCCCAAGUCUCGUUCCUUACGGAUGCAUAUACUAUUGUUUUACCCUGUAUAAAUUGUAAAUAUAUAUUGGUGAAAUGUU
rnacentral:lncRNA from 1 species